GGUCCCGUGCGGCUCAGUUGGUAGAGCAUGGCGUUUGCAACACCAAGGUUGUGGGUUCGAUUCCCACGGGGGACCA
rnacentral:tRNA from 1 species